rnacentral:rRNA from 1 species
AACGAACGCUGGCGGCAUGCCUAACACAUGCAAGUCGAACGAGAACUUCGGGUCUAGUGGCGAACGGGUGCGUAACGCGUGGGAACCUGCCCUUAGGUUCGGAAUAACUCCCCGAAAGGGGUGCUAAUACCGGAUAAUGUCUUCGGCCCAAAGAUUUAUCGCCUUUGGAUGGGCCCGCGUUGGCUUAGAUAGUUGGUAGGGUAAAAGCCUACCAAGGCGACGAUCCAUAGCUGGUCUGAGAGGAUGAUCAGCCACACUGGGACUGAGACACGGCCCAGACUCCUACGGGAGGCAGCAGUGGGUAAUAUUGGACAAUGGGCGGAAGCCUGAUCCAGCAAUGCCGCGUGAGUGAUGAAGUCCUUAGGGUUGUAAAGCUCUUUUACCCGGGAGGAUAAUGACAGUACCGGAAGAAUAAGCUCCGGCUAACUCCGUG